GGAGGAAGACAGAAGCUGGCGUGGCGGAGGUCUGCAGGCCAAAAGUCUGAGAUCAAGGCUUGGGCAGGGCCACGCUCCCCAAUGAGACUCCAGAGGAAGAUCCUUCCUGCCUAUUCCAGCUCCUGGUGGCUCCAGGUGUCCCUUGGCUUGUGGCCACAUCGCUCCAACCUCUGUCCCGGCUUCACGCGGCUGUCUCCUCUGCAUGUCUGUCUCCUCCUCUGCUUCUAUGAGGACACUCAUCGCUGGAUUUAGGUCCCACCCAGAUAACCCAGGAUGACCCCACUGCAAGAUCUUUUGAUCAAUUACAUCUGCAAAGACUCCAUUUCCCAACCAAGCCAGAGUCACAGAUUCCCAGGGUCAGCUGUGGCCACCGUUCAGCCUGAAACAUGCCGCGUCACCUCACCCAAGCCUCACAUCGCCCCGUGAGGAAGCCACCGUGGAGGUGAAGUUCAAGUUCUCACCACCUGCCCUGUAUGAUUUCUCCUCCAGGGAACCCUGGGUGUCCACGGAGGGGCCGAUGGCUGUCCCUGGCCCGUCAUGGGGCCCCAGCUCUGACACCUGAGCUUCUGAAUUCACUUGUUUAGUUUUUCAGGAACAUUUUUUCCUUCGGUGCCUU
rnacentral:lncRNA from 10 species